rnacentral:tRNA from 1 species
GCGGCGGUAGCUCAGCUGGCAGAGCGGGUGCCUUCCAAGCACCAGGUCGCGCGUUCGAACCGCGUCCGCCGCUCCA